rnacentral:rRNA from 1 species
AGAACAACAGGGAUUGCCCCAGUAACGGCGAAGUGAAGCGGCAACAGCUCAAAUUUGAAAUCUGGCCUCGUGCCCGAGUUGUAAUUUGUAGAGGAUGCUUUUGGUGCGGUGCCUUCCGAGUUCCCUGGAACGGGACGCCAGAGAGGGUGAGAGCCCCGUACGGUUGGACACCAAGCCUCUGUAAAGCUCCUUCGACGAGUCGAGUAGUUUGGGAAUGCUGCUCUAAAUGGGAGGUAUAUCUCUUCUAAAGCUAAAUAUAGGCCAGAGACCGAUAGCGCACAAGUAGAGUGAUCGAAAGAUGAAAAGCACUUUGAAAAGAGGGUUAAAAAGUACGUGAAAUUGUUGAAAGGGAAGGGCUUGUGACCAGACUUGUGCCGGGCUGAUCAUCCGCGGUUCUUCCGCGGUGCACUCUGCCCGUGCCCAGGCCAGCGUCGGUUCUGGCAGGGGGACAAAAGCUUGGGGAACGUGGCUCCUUCGGGAGUGUUAUAGCCCCUUGCCCAAUGCCCCUGCCGGGACCGAGGUUCGCGCUCUGCAAGGACGCUGGCAUAAUGGUCACCAGCCACCCGUCUUGAAACACGGACCAAGGAGUCGAGGUUUUGCGCGAGUGUUUGGGUGUCAAACCCGCACGCGUAAUGAAAGUGAACGUAGGUGAGAGCUUCGGCGCAUCAUCGACCGAUCCUGAUGUAUUCGGAUGGAUUUGAGUAAGAGCGUAAAGCCUCGGACCCGAAAGAUGGUGAACUAUGCCUGAAUAGGGUGAAGCCAGAGGAAACUCUGGUGGAGGCUCGCAGCGGUUCUGACGUGCAAAUCGAUCGUCAAAUUUGGGCAUGGGGGCGAAAGACUAAUCG